rnacentral:rRNA from 1 species
AUUGAACGCUGGCGGCAGGCCUAACACAUGCAAGUCGAGCGGAAGAACGGAGCUUGCUGCUGGCUUCAGCGGCGGACGGGUGAGUAAUGCCUAGGAAUCUGCCCGGUAGUGGGGGAUAACGUCCGGAAACGGGCGCUAAUACCGCAUACGUCCUGAGGGAGAGGGUGGGGGAUGUUCGGAUUUCACGCUUUCAGAUGAGCCUAGGUCGGAUUCGCUAGUUGGUGGGGGAAAGGGCUACCAAGGCGACGAUCCGUAACUGGUCUGAGAGGGUGAUCAGUCACACUGGAACUGAGACACGGUCCAGACGCCUACGGGAGGCAGCAGUGGGGAAUAUUGGACAAUGGGCGAAAGCCUGAUCCAGCCAUGCCGCGUGUGUGAAGAAGGUCUUCGGAUUGUAAAGCUCUUUAUGUAGGGAGGAAGCGCACUAAGUGAAUACCUUGCUGUGUUGACGUUACCAGCAGAAGAAGCACCGGCUAACUUCGUG